UCUCAAACACCCAACACUCCUCUCUCACACUCCCUCACUCUUCCACCGGUGCAUCACUCCACCACCUCCACCAUUAUCUUCCGAAAAUUUUUCCUGGAAAAGCUCCAUAAAAACCUCUUAAGCUCCUACAUCUCAUCUUAUUUAAGGUUCUAGCUAAUCUCCUUUGGAGUUUUGGAACUAAGUUUUUUGCGGGUUGCAAGAGUAGGAAAAAUUUUUUGAGACAGUUUUUUGGUGGCUAAUAGUAGUUAGACUAACUACUGAUGGAGGCUGAACUUUUGUGAUGGAGAUAUUAGAUGAUGUACAUCUUCGAGUAUGCUUGACUCAUUCUUUUGUAUAUUGUAAUGCUUGUGACUUUAUUCCCACUGAUGGGAUAAGCUGAUGAUAUGUAAUUAUUUAUUCAGACCUCUAUUCUUUUGUGGCCAAUGGUCCUUGUAAUUAUUGCAUAAAUCUCUGACUUACUUUGGGGAGUAUAUUUAAUGGAAUUAUGAUAAUAA